UGUGAAGGAACUUUACGGAGGGAAAACACAAUGACUGAGUGGCGGACGGGUGAGUAACGCGUAGGGAACCUGGCCCUUACAGGGGGAUAACAGAUGGAAACAACUGCUAAUACCGCAUAAGCGCCCAGCUUCGCAUGAGGCAGAGUGAAAAACUAAGGUGGUAAGGGAUGGCCCUGCGUCCGAUUAGCUAGUUGGUAUGGUAACGGCAUACCAAGGCGACGAUCGGUAGCCGGCCUGAGAGGGUGGACGGCCACAUUGGGACUGAGACACGGCCCAAACUCCUACGGGAGGCAGCAGUGGGGGAUAUUGCACAAUGGGGGAAACCCUGAUGCAGCGACACCGCGUGGGUGAAGAAGCGCUUCGGCGUGUAAAGCCCUAUCAGUGGGGAAGAAAAAGGACGGUACCCAAAGAAGAAGCACCGGCUAAAUACGUGCCAGCAGCCGCGGUAAUACGUAUGGUGCAAGCGUUAUCCGGAAUGACUGGGUGUAAAGGGAGCGUAGACGGUUGUACAAGUCUGAUGUGAAAGCCCACGGCUCAACUGUGGGAGUGCAUUGGAAACUGUAGAACUAGAGUAUCGGAGAGGCAAGUGGAAUUCCUAGUGUAGCGGUGAAAUGCGUAGAUAUUAGGAGGAACACCAGUGGCGAAGGCGGCUUGCUGGACGAAAACUGACGUUGAGGCUCGAAAGCGUGGGGAGCAAACAGGAUUAGAUACCCUGGUAGUCCACGCUGUAAACGAUGAAUACUAGGUGUUGGGGCC
rnacentral:rRNA from 1 species